UUUCCGUAGGUGAACCUGCGGAAGGAUCAUUCAUAAUAAGUGUUUUAUGGCACUUUUUUAAAUCCAUAUCCACCUUGUGUGCAAUGUCAGGGUUGAUUUUUCUCUCGAGAGGAUCAAUCCCAAACAUCAACUAUAUCUCAACUCUUUGUCUGAAAAAUAUUAUGAAUAAAACAAUUCAAAAUACAACUUUCAACAACGGAUCUCUUGGCUCUC
rnacentral:misc_RNA from 1 species